CCUACGGGUGGCAGCAGUGAGGAAUAUUGGUCAAUGGGCGCAAGCCUGAACCAGACAAGUCGCGUGAGGGAUGACGGUCCUAUGGAUUGUAAACCUCUUUUGUCGGGGAGCAAGGCCCGCCACGUGUGGCGGGAAGGAGAGUACCCGAAGAAAAAGCAUCGGCUAACUCCGGGCCAGCAGCCGCGGUAAUACGGAGGAUCCGAGCGUUAUACGGAUUUAUUGGGUUAAAGGGGAGCGUAGGUGGAUUGUUAAGUCAGCGGUAAAAUUGAGAGGCUCAACCUCUUCGAGCCGUUGAAACUGGUUUUCUUGAGUGAGCGAGAAGUAUGCGGAAUGCGUGGUGUAGCGGUGAAAUGCAUAGAUAUCACGCAGAACUCCGAUUGCGAAGGCAGCAUACCGGCGCUCAACUGACGCUCAUGCACGAAAGUGUGGGUAUCGAACAGGAUUAGAUACCCCAGUAGUC
rnacentral:rRNA from 1 species